GGUAUUCAGUUGCUUGCAACUGAAGAGACCGGCGCACGGGUGAGUAACGCGUAUGUAACUUGCCUCAUUCAACGGGAUAGCCCGGGGAAACCCGGAUUAAUAUCGUAUAACAGCCGGACAGGCAUCUGUUUGGUUUGAAAGAUUCAUCGGAAUGAGAUAGACAUGCGUAUGAUUAGCUUGUUGGCGGGGUAACGGCCCACCAAGGCGAUGAUCAUUAGGGGUCCUGAGAGGGUGAUCCCCCACACUGGUACUGAGACACGGACCAGACUCCUACGGGAGGCAGCAGUGAGGAAUAUUGGACAAUGGGUGAGAGCCUGAUCCAGCCAUCCCGCGUGCAGGAAGACGGCCUUAUGGGUUGUAAACUGCUUUUAUACAGGAAUAAACCAUCUUACGAGUAGGGUGUUGAAGGUACUGUAUGAAUAAGCACCGGCUAACUCCGUGCCAGCAGCCGCGGUAAUACGGAGGGUGCAAGCGUUAUCCGGAUUUAUUGGGUUUAAAGGGUCCGCAGGCGGGUCUGUAAGUCAGGGGUGAAAUCCGGCAGCUUAACUGUCGAACUACCUUUGAUACUGCAGGUCUUGAGUGGGAAUGAAGCAGCUGGAAUGUGUGGUGUAGCGGUGAAAUGCAUAGAUAUCACACAGAACACCGAUAGCGAAGGCAGGUUGCUAAUUCUCAACUGACGCUGAGGGACGAAAGCGUGGGGAGCGAACAGGAUUAGAUACCCUGGUAGUCCACGCCGUAAACGAUGGAUACUGUCUGUUGGUUCGUAAGGAUCAGUGGAUAAGCGAAAGUGAUAAGUAUCC
rnacentral:rRNA from 1 species